rnacentral:rRNA from 1 species
UAGCUAGUUGGUGGGGUAAGGGCCUACCAAGGCGACGAUCGGUAGCUGGUCUGAGAGGAUGACCAGCCACACUGGAACUGAGACACGGUCCAGACUCCUACGGGAGGCAGCAGUGGGGAAUAUUGGACAAUGGGGGCAACCCCGAUCCGGCAAUGCCGCGUGUGUGAAGAAGGCCUGAGGGUUGUAAAGCACUUUCAGUGGGAAGGAGGGUUGAUAGGUUAAGAGCUAAUUAACUGGACGUUACCCACAGAAGAAGCACCGGCUAACUCCGUGCCAGCAGCCGCGGUAAUACGGAGGGUGCGAGCGUUAAUCGGAAUUACUGGGCGUAAAGGGUGCGUAGGUGGUUGAUUAAGUUAUCUGUGAAAUUCCUGGGCUUAACCUGGGACGGUCAGAUAAUACUGGUUGACUCGAGUAUGGGAGAGGGUAGUGGAAUUUCCGGUGUAGCGGUGAAAUGCGUAGAGAUCGGAAGGAACACCAGUGGCGAAGGCGGCUACCUGGCCUAAUACUGACACUGAGGCACGAAAGCGUGGGGAGCAAACAGGAUUAGAUACCCUGGUAGUCCACGCUGUAAACGAUGUCAACUAGCUGUUGGUUAUAUGAAAAUAAUUAGUGGCGC